rnacentral:rRNA from 1 species
UACGUAGGGGGCGAGCGUUGUCCGGAUUUACUGGGCGUAAAGAGCGCGCAGGCGGUCGUUCAAGUCGAGUGUGAAAGCCCCCGGCUCAACUGGGGAGGGUCACUCGAUACUGAUCGACUUGAAGGCAGGAGAGGGAAGCGGAAUUCCCGGUGUAGUGGUGAAAUGCGUAGAUAUCGGGAGGAACACCGGUGGCGAAGGCGCCGCUCUGGACAGUAACUGACGCUGAGGCGCGAAAGCGUGGGGAUCAAACAGG